rnacentral:rRNA from 1 species
GCAGUCGAGCGGAACGAGAUGUCUGAACCUUCGGGGAACGAUAACGGCGUCGAGCGGCGGACGGGUGAGUAAUGCCUAGGAAAUUGCCCUGAUGUGGGGGAUAACCAUUGGAAACGAUGGCUAAUACCGCAUGAUGCCUACGGGCCAAAGAGGGGGACCUUCGGGCCUCUCGCGUCAGGAUAUGCCUAGGUGGGAUUAGCUAGUUGGUGAGGUAAGGGCUCACCAAGGCGACGAUCCCUAGCUGGUCUGAGAGGAUGAUCAGCCACACUGGAACUGAGACACGGUCCAGACUCCUACGGGAGGCAGCAGUGGGGAAUAUUGCACAAUGGGCGCAAGCCUGAUGCAGCCAUGCCGCGUGUGUGAAGAAGGCCUUCGGGUUGUAAAGCACUUUCAGUCGUGAGGAAGGUAGUGUAGUUAAUAGCUGCAUUAUUUGACGUUAGCGACAGAAGAAGCACCGGCUAACUCCGUGCCAGCAGCCGCGGUAAUACGGAGGGUGCGAGCGUUAAUCGGAAUUACUGGGCGUAAAGCGCAUGCAGGUGGUUUGUUAAGUCAGAUGUGAAAGCCCGGGGCUCAACCUCGGAAUUGCAUUUGAAACUGGCAGACUAGAGUACUGUAGAGGGGGGUAGAAUUUCAGGUGUAGCGGUGAAAUGCGUAGAGAUCUGAAGGAAUACCGGUGGCGAAGGCGGCCCCCUGGACAGAUACUGACACUCAGAUGCGAAAGCGUGGGGAGCAAACAGGAUUAGAUACCCUGGUAGUCCACGCCGUAAACGAUGUCUACUUGGAGGUUGUGGCCUUGAGCCGUGGCUUUCGGAGCUAACGCGUUAAGUAGACCGCCUGGGGAGUACGGUCGCAAGAUUAAAACUCAAAUGAAUUGACGGGGGCCCGCACAAGCGGUGGAGCAUGUGGUUUAAUUCGAUGCAACGCGAAGAACCUUACCUACUCUUGACAUCCAGAGAACUUUCCAGAGAUGGAUUGGUGCCUUCGGGAACUCUGAGACAGGUGCUGCAUGGCUGUCGUCAGCUCGUGUUGUGAAAUGUUGGGUUAAGUCCCGCAACGAGCGCAACCCUUAUCCUUGUUUGCCAGCGAGUAAUGUCGGGAACUCCAGGGAGACUGCCGGUGAUAAACCGGAGGAAGGUGGGGACGACGUCAAGUCAUCAUGGCCCUUACGAGUAGGGCUACACACGUGCUACAAUGGCGCAUACAGAGGGCGGCCAACUUGCGAAAGUGAGCGAAUCCCAAAAAGUGCGUCGUAGUCCGGAUUGGAGUCUGCAACUCGACUCCAUGAAGUCGGAAUCGCUAGUAAUCGUGGAUCAGAAUGCCACGGUGAAUACGUUCCCGGGCCUUGUACACACCGCCCGUCACACCAUGGGAGUGGGCUGCAAAAGAAGUAGGUAGUGUAACCUUCGGGCGGA